UGGGGAAUAUUGCACAAUGGGCGCAAGCCUGAUGCAGCCAUGCCGCGUGUAUGAAGAAGGCCUUCGGGUUGUAAAGUACUUUCAGCGGGGAGGAAGGUGUUGAGGUUAAUAACCUCAGCAAUUGACGUUACCCGCAGAAGAAGCACCGGCUAACUCCGUGCCAGCAGCCGCGGUAAUACGGAGGGUGCAAGCGUUAAUCGGAAUUACUGGGCGUAAAGCGCACGCAGGCGGUCUGUCAAGUCGGAUGUGAAAUCCCCGGGCUCAACCUGGGAACUGCAUUCGAAACUGGCAGGCUAGAGUCUUGUAGAGGGGGGUAGAAUUCCAGGUGUAGCGGUGAAAUGCGUAGAGAUCUGGAGGAAUACCGGUGGCGAAGGCGGCCCCCCGGACGAAGACUGACGCUCAGGUGCGAAAGCGUGGGGAGCAAACA
rnacentral:rRNA from 1 species